rnacentral:rRNA from 1 species
UACGUAGGGUGCAAGCGUUGUCCGGAAUUAUUGGGCGUAAAGAGCUCGUAGGCGGUUUUGUCGCGUCUGCUGUGAAAACUGGAGGCUCAACCUCCAGCCUGCAGUGGGUACGGGCAAACUAGAGUGCGGUAGGGGAGAUUGGAAUUCCUGGUGUAGCGGUGGAAUGCGCAGAUAUCAGGAGGAACACCCGAUGGCGAAGGCAGAUCUCUGGGCCGUAACUGACGCUGAGGAGCGAAAGCGUGGGGAGCGAACAGG